AGCCUUGAGGUGUCCGACACAUUAGAUUGCAAAUCUUAAGUAGCAGGUUAACGCCUGCCGGGGCUU
rnacentral:tRNA from 1 species